rnacentral:rRNA from 1 species
GUGUCAGCAGCCGCGGUAAUACGGAGGGUGCGAGCGUUAAUCGGAAUUACUGGGCGUAAAGCGCGUGCAGGCGGCCUGUUGAGUCAGAUGUGAAAGCCCGGGGCUUAACCUCGGAAUUGCAUUUGAAACUGGCAGGCUAGAGUCUUGUAGAGGGGGGUAGAAUUUCAGGUGUAGCGGUGAAAUGCGUAGAGAUCUGAGGGAAUACCAGUGGCGAAGGCGGCCCCCUGGACAGAUACUGACACUCAGAUGCGAAAGCGUGGGGAGCAAACAGGAUUAGAAACCCGUGUAGUCC